rnacentral:rRNA from 1 species
GCGUGGGAGACGGCUCGGUUGUAAUCUUGGGAGAGACGUCCAGAAUAGGAUCGGUAACUCUGCCACGCCCGUACAGAUCCAGCUUACCGGAUUUAUUGGGUUUAGCGUAGGUGUAAGUCGGUGAAAGUUUCACUACUGAAAUGCACUGGUCUGAGUACGAGGUGCGGAAUUGAUGUACGGUAAAUGCAUAAUAUCACAAACACCGUGCAAGGCCUACCGUGGGGAUCAAACAGGAUUAGAUACCCUGGUAGUCCACGCCCUAACGAUGUACUCGUGUUCGCAAGAAAGCGUUAAAACACCUGGGGUCGCCGGCAACGGAACAAAGAUGACGGGCCCAAGCGGAGGAUGGGUUAAUUCAUCGGGACUCGCUGAAAGCGAUGUCUGC